UGGGGAAUAUUGCACAAUGGACGAAAGUCUGAGGCAGCAACUCCGCGUGAGGGACGAAGGCUCUCGGGUCGUAAACCUCUUUUCUCAGGGAAGAUCCAAGACGGUACCUGAGGAAUAAGCCACGGCUAACUACGUGCCAGCAGCCGCGGUAAUACGUAGGUGGCAAGCGUUGUCCGGAUUUACUGGGCGUAAAGAGCGCGCAGGCGGCUGGUCAAGUCCGAUGUGAAGUCUCCCGGCUCAACUGGGAAACUGCAUCGGAAACUGAUCGGCUUGAAGGUGGGAGAGGGUAGUGGAAUUCCCGGUGUAGUGGUGAAAUGCGUAGAUAUCGGGAGGAACACCAGUGGCGAAGGCGACUACCUGGCCCACUCUUGACGCUGAGGCGCGAAAGCUAGGGGAGCGAACGGGAUUAGAUACCCCGGUAGUCCUAGCCGUAAACGAUGAACACUAGGCGUAGUCGGUAUCGACCCGGCUGUGCCGUAGCCAACGCAUUAAGUGUUCCGCCUGGGGAC
rnacentral:rRNA from 1 species